AGGUACAGAGGGAUGCUACCGGGCGACCGGAUGCGGAUCUCGAAAGCCUGUCCCAGUUCGGACUGGAGUCUGCAACCCGACUCCACGAAGUUGGAUUCGCUAGUAAUCGCGCAUCAGCCAUGGCGCGGUGAAUACGUUCCCGGGCCUUGUACACACCGCCCGUCACACCAUGGGAGUCGGUAACACCCAAAGUUGGUAGCCUAACCGCAAGGAGGGCGCCGCCUAAGGUGGGAUUGAUGACUGGGGUGAAGUCGUAACAAGGUAAC
rnacentral:rRNA from 1 species